rnacentral:rRNA from 1 species
UGAGGAAUAUUGGUCAAUGGGCGCAAGCCUGAACCAGCCACGCCGCGUGCAGGAUGAAGCAUCUAUGGUGUGUAAACUGCUUUUGUACGGGAAGAAACCACCCCUCGUGAGGGGUAUUGACGGUACCGUAAGAAUAAGGAUCGGCUAACUCCGUGCCAGCAGCCGCGGUAAUACGGAGGAUCCAAGCGUUAUCCGGAAUCAUUGGGUUUAAAGGGUCCGUAGGCGGUUUAGUAGUCAGUGGUGAAAGCCCAUCGCUCAACGAUGGAACGGCCAUUGAUACUGCUAGACUUGAAUUAUUAGGAAGUAACUAGAAUAUGUAGUGUAGCGGUGAAAUGCUUAGAUAUUACAUGGAAUACCAAUUGCGAAGGCAGGUUACUACUUGUGGAUUGACGCUGAUGGACGAAAGCGUGGGGAGCGAACA